rnacentral:lncRNA from 1 species
CGCAGUCUCAGCUGCAGACACACCCUGAAGGCCGCCCCUGGCUGACUGGGAGCUGGCUCCUUCCCCGUGCAGUCCCACAGCAGGGAGGACUGGAGCACAAACUCAGGUCUCCCUCGGCCCUCUUCUCCCUCCCACUGUGGGCCAAACGCGGUGCAGAAGGCCUGAGGAGCCCAAGCACUGAUAUCCAGGUGCCAUCUGCUGAGCUAACAGAAACCAGCUGGUUGCUGGGUUCUACAAAGGGAAGCUUACAGCAAACUGAAAGCAUACUCAUUCUGGUGGUGCCCAAGGCACAGACUCCAUCACCACUGCAAAGAACAAGACCUGAGGAUGUUACAGCCAACACACUGAGAAUCACCAAAGUUGGAAAAGACCUCCAAGAUCAUCUAGGCCUUCCUAGCAGCUGGGAGUCCUCUAGAAGCCCAGCUAGGAUAUCCAGCCAUGGCUUCAGCUGCCUCAUAGUCAGCCCCUGCAUGCGGCAACUGUGUGGUGAUGAUGUAAAACCACGAGAAUAUCUCAACUUGGUCAGAAGAGUAGAUUUCACCUGUAUUGCACUACCUCAAUCAAAGCAAGAGAAAUGAAUCUGCACAUACACAAGAGAAGCAAACAAGCGUGAGUUAACUGAAGAUGAGCCAGCAUAUGUCUUGUUAAGCCACCCUCAUUCAAAAUGAUGGAGAUGCAAGUGAUGAUGAUGGCAAAGGAAAUUCUACUGUCUGAGAGCACCUUUUCUCUCAAAAAUGGCUGUAUAUGAAAUAGAUGUGAGAGCGUCCAUCCUUCUGGCUUCGUGUUAGCAAGCUUCUCUACUUUCUUUGAGCCUUCCAGUGCACGUUCUUUCAGAGUUUUGUAUGAUGACCACGUAGUGUCACUACGCUCUCCUGAUGUUCCCAUCACAUUUCUAGAGAUCCAUCAGAUCUCACAUGUUGGGAAAAGACUGUUACUUUGCUCCAGCUAAGUACUUUUUCCAAAAUAUAUUGAAAACAAAGAGGAGAGAGCUCUUUUUUGGCCAGUGACCCCGCAAGCCAAAAGAGGCAGGUUGGCUCAGUCUGAUGUCAGCAACAAAAUGCCCAGCAUCCCGGUCCCGUGUGUUGUGUGGCUUUAAAGUACAUAAGUAUAUUAAGGAUAUUAUUAAAUUCUACCCAAGAUUUCUCAGAUAGUUAAUUUUCUCAAUUAUUUCUACAUAAAUCCCACUCUUCCUAGGUGGAUGAAAACAUAAUCAUAAACUGUAUGUGAUGAACAAUUUAGUGUAUUACUACAGGCAGUAGCAGGACUUUUAAUGCAGAUUUAAUAGCUUUAGCAUCAUGCCUGUCAAGGAAAGCACAUACACAUCAUGGAAGAUAUACCUACAUGUAAGGAAUACAUCACAUACUGUAGAAAAGAAGAAUAAGAGAGAAUAAAUUGAACUAAGGGAAAUAAAGAUGUGAUUUUCCCAUGUCUAGAAGGGCAGCAUGGGCUCUCUAAAUGCUGUGAGAUAGAGUAGGGACAGGAUGAAAAUUGAACAUUGGCCUGUACGAUGGCAAAGGCAAGCUGGGAAUUAGUAUUCUCAGCUAGCGUGUUUGUAGUUUGCUCCCUCUUGAUGUGUGGCUUGGGCUGAGGAAGGGGCUGGGAUCUGGGCCUCAGGUGAGAAGAGCAGCCCCUCAGCUAGCUGUGAGAGCAGAGAAGCUCAUGGAGCAGGAGCUCAGGCUGGAGAUGUCUCUUAUUUGACCUGGGCCUGUUUGGGCUCCCACUUUUCUGAGGACGGUGGUUGAGUCUUGGUGUCAAUCUCAGCUGUAAAUUUGGUAAAGGGUGAUGAGCUAUGCUUCUGCAUGAUCCCAUGCAGUGAACACAGCAGGAUGUAGUAUGGGAGCUCCAGACUGUCUCUGUCUCUUUUUCCUUGGUGCAGUAAUAGAUGAGGACAGUGGUGCCAGGCUGUGCAGGAUACCGAGCUCUGAGCUCAGGUGAGCUCAUCAAAGGACAGUAGAGCUCAAGCAUGGCUGUGUGCCUCAGCUUUCCUACUGACUUUGGGGAUCUUCUAGCAAUCAGGCAGGAACAAAGGAUCCAUGAACACCAGCCCUCUGCUCAGCUUCAGGGAUGUAGUCUGGAGGAG